rnacentral:rRNA from 1 species
AUGAACGCUAGCUACAGGCUUAACACAUGCAAGUCGAGGGGCAGCAUGGUCUUAGCUUGCUAAGACUGAUGGCGACCGGCGCACGGGUGAGUAACACGUAUCCAACCUGCCGUCUACUCUUGGACAGCCUUCUGAAAGGAAGAUUAAUACAAGAUGGCAUCAUGAGUCCGCAUGUUCACAUGAUUAAAGGUAUUCCGGUAGACGAUGGGGAUGCGUUCCAUUAGAUAGUAGGCGGGGUAACGGCCCACCUAGUCUUCGAUGGAUAGGGGUUCUGAGAGGAAGGUCCCCCACAUUGGAACUGAGACACGGUCCAAACUCCUACGGGAGGCAGCAGUGAGGAAUAUUGGUCAAUGGGCGAGAGCCUGAACCAGCCAAGUAGCGUGAAGGAUGACUGCCCUAUGGGUUGUAAACUUCUUUUAUAAAGGAAUAAAGUCGGGUAUGCAUACCCGUUUGCAUGUACUUUAUGAAUAAGGAUCGGCUAACUCCGUGCCAGCAGCCGCGGUAAUACGGAGGAUCCGAGCGUUAUCCGGAUUUAUUGGGUUUAAAGGGAGCGUAGAUGGAUGUUUAAGUCAGUUGUGAAAGUUUGCGGCUCAACCGUAAAAUUGCAGUUGAUACUGGAUAUCUUGAGUGCAGUUGAGGCAGGCGGAAUUCGUGGUGUAGCGGUGAAAUGCUUAGAUAUCACGAAGAACUCCGAUUGCGAAGGCAGCCUGCUAAGCUGCAACUGACAUUGAGGCUCGAAAGUGUGGGUAUCAAACAGGAUUAGAUACCCUGGUAGUCCACACGGUAAACGAUGAAUACUCGCUGUUUGCGAUAUACGGCAAGCGGCCAAGCGAAAGCGUUAAGUAUUCCACCUGGGGAGUACGCCGGCAACGGUGAAACUCAAAGGAAUUGACGGGGGCCCGCACAAGCGGAGGAACAUGUGGUUUAAUUCGAUGAUACGCGAGGAACCUUACCCGGGCUUAAAUUGCAGAUGAAUUACGGUGAAAGCCGUAAGCCGCAAGGCAUCUGUGAAGGUGCUGCAUGGUUGUCGUCAGCUCGUGUCGUGAGAUGUUGGGUUAAGUCCCGCAACGAGCGCAACCCUUAUGGUCAGUUACUACGCAAGAGGACUCUGGCCAGACUGCCGUUGACAAAACGGAGGAAGGUGGGGAUGACGUCAAAUCAGCACGGCCCUUACGUCCGGGGCUACACACGUGUUACAAUGGGGGGUACAGAGGGCCGCUACCACGCGAGUGGAUGCCAAUCCCAAAAACCUCUCUCAGUUCGGACUGGAGUCUGCAACCCGACUCCACGAAGCUGGAUUCGCUAGUAAUCGCGCAUCAGCCACGGCGCGGUGAAUACGUUCCCGGGCCUUGUACACACCGCCCGUCAAGCCAUGGGAGCCGGGGGUACCUGAAGUGCGUAACCGCGAGGAGCGCCCUAGGGUAAAACUGGUGACUGGGGCU